AGUUAUUUUGAUUAAUGUUUCCAAAACCAUGUGAAUUUAGGGAUAUCAUUCCCAUAUUCAAGAAUUAAAUUCAGACAGAACAAUGGCAGAUUUGAGACCUAGCUCUAACCUGAAGUUUCAGCUCUGCCUGUUGGUUUCACAUCCUUGAGAGCAGUCCUCAGAGGUCCUGCCUAUGUCCUCAGCAUCGCUGUUCCCUUGAGGAAUGGUCCAUUCUUCGGCUAUGGUGGAUGUGAUGACAGCCACUUCUCUUGCCGUACGUUAGGAGCAGAGAUGUUUCUUGUAAUGUGAAGGAAGAGUGACACUUGCUUACUCUUCUGUCUUCCUUGUAGCAAAUCAUUUUGUUGUCAUGAGACAGAGUACAAGGAAGGGAACAAGAGAAAACCUGAAAUCACAUUACCAUAUUAAGAUCACAGUUAUUUUUAAAUGUGUAAUUGUGCACAUAUAUAUAUAUAUAUAUAUAUAUAUAUAUAUAUAUAUAUAUAUAUAUAUAAUAUAUGUUUGUGUGCCUAUGGGCACAUGGCAAACAUUGAAAUAUACUUAAGACAUUUGAAACAUCUCUCUAGACAUCACCCACAGAAGCUCUGUGUUUCAGCAUUUCAGCUACCGGGUUUGUUUGUUUGUUUGUUUGUUUGUUUGUUUGUUUAAGAAUAUUCAUUCUCCCUUUCAGGAAAACUGUGUAGAGAUGAAGAGAGCGGGUCAGCAUGAGAGAGAGGAAACUGGCGAGAACAUGUUGGAAGACGAGCUGCAGGCUAACUGGUGCCUCCCACCUUCAUUACUGUGCUUCCAAAUCAAUCUCUCUGCUCUCCUUGAGUGGCAAAUAAAAAAAUCAGCUCACAAGAUAUAUGUGUGUGCUGUUCGUGAUGAUCCUCACCGUCCAUCUGCCGCACAUGCCAGCCUGAAGACGCUGCAGGGAGAAUUAAAGAUGUCCCGAGUCCACAGCAGAAUCCAGAGGCCUUUUUCUUCUGGACACAUGGCGUUGGUCACCUGGGGCUUGUCCCACCUCGUCCACUCUGCGGCAAAGAUGAUGAUUGCUGGUGGACAAUAACUGACUGCAUGCCUAACCUUCCAGAGCAACCAACUGGCUUAAAAUCUAGAGCCCAGAGUCAUGUUAUUUUUUUUAUGUGUAUGAAUAUUUAGCCUGUGCCCACUGGAGCCAGAAGAGGGCAUUGGAUCCUGAAACUGAAGUUACAGAUGUUGGGAGCCACCAUGUGGGCACUAGGAAUUGAACUCAGGUCCUUUGUAAAAGCAAUCAGUGAUCUUAACCACUGAGCCAUCACUCCACCCCCAAAUUCUGUUUCUUGAAGAUAUUUGUGAUGAUUAAUCUGGCCAACCAGAGUCACAGUGGAAGCAACUAUGUGGGCACACCUGCAAGAUACCAUCUAAACUAGGUUAAUUGAGGUGGGGAGAGUGACCUGAAGGCAAGCCCUACCAUUCAAGGCCUCGACUGAACACCCAGGAGGAACCAGCACUCAUCCUUGUCUCCUCUUACUGUGGACAUGGUAAGACUAGCUCCUCCUGCUCUUGUCACCAUGCUGCCUUGGCCACGACAAACCAUAGUCCCUGGAAGUAUAAGUCAAAGUAAGCCCUUCUACCUUUCCUUCCUCCCUUUCUCCCUCCUCCCCA
rnacentral:lncRNA from 1 species